UUGUAUGGUUUACUUUAAUCUGUUAUAUUUUACCUGUUUUUAAGAUACAAACAAUUGAUAAAGUGCACAAAGAAAGAUCAUACAAUAAGUAAGAUAACUGCAGUUUAAUUGCUAAGUAAAGAAGUUCCCC